rnacentral:rRNA from 1 species
UGCCAGACUCCUACGGGAGGCAGCAGUGGGGAAUAUUGCACAAUGGGGGAAACCCUGAUGCAGCGACGCCGCGUGAGUGAAGAAGUACUUCGUUAUGUAAAGCUCUAUCAGCAGGGAAGAAAAUGACGGUACCUGAGUAAGAAGCCCCGGCUAACUACGUGCCAGCAGCCGCGGUAAUACGUGGGGGGCAAGCGUUAUCCGGAUUUACUGGGUGUAAAGGGAGCGUAGACGGCAAUGCAAGCCAGAUGUGAAAGCCCGGGGCUCAACCCCGGGACUGCAUUUGGAACUGUGUAGCUGGAGUGUCGGAGAGGCAGGCGGAAUUCCUAGUGUAGCGGUGAAAUGCGUAGAUAUUAGGAGGAACACCAGUGGCGAAGGCGGCCUGCUGGACGAUGACUGACGUUGAGGCUCGAAAGCGUGGGGAGCAAACAGGAUUAGAUACCCGAGUA